UUGGAAGUUAGCGCCCCCGUCUGGUUUUGUUUCAAACUGCAUAGACCUACACUGAGUCCACGGUGGAGGCGUGUGAGUACUACGCUAUCGCCGUAUCGUCUCAGUCUGCGUUAAAACCUUAUCAGUGUGUGUUGGUGCUCAUUUAACAGCAGCCGUGCCACGCCGCGCCCCCACCCCAAGCGGAGCCGUCAUGUGGCAGGAGGCCCGCAAACAUGAGCGAAAGCUCCGUGGCAUGAUGGUAGACUACAAGCGCCGAGGCGAGCGUCGGCGCGAAUACUACGAGAAAAUUAAAAAAGAUCCAGCCCAGUUCCUUCAGGUUCAUGGUCGGGCCUACAAGAUCCACCUGGAUCCUGCUGUGGCACUAGCUGCCGAGAGCCCCAUCAACAUGAUGCCUUGGCAGGGAGAUGCCAACAACAUGAUUGACAGGUUCGAUGUCAGGGCUCAUUUGGACUACAUACCCACUUAUACACCACCACUGCUCAGCACCACCAUCCAAGAGAACGAAAUGGAGGAGAGAAGGUGUAAUUAUGAACGCUACAGGGGCCUCGUGCAGAAUGACUUUGCCAACAUCUCCGAGGAGCAGUGUUUGUAUCAGAUCUACCUGGACGAGUUGUAUGGUGGCCUGCAGAAACCAAAUGAGGAGGAAAAAAAAAAACUUGCGGAGAAAAAGGCCACCAUUGGUUACACAUAUGAGGACAGCACUGUGGCAGAGCCUGAGCCUCAGUCAGACAAAGACGAGGACAAUUCAGAAAACAGUGAAUCAGAAGAGGAUGAGGGCAUCCCUGAUAUUGAUGUGGAGGUUGAUGUUGAUGAGUUGAACCAGGAGCAGGUGCUGGACAUUAACAAAAUGGCAACAACAUAUGGAAUGGCUGAAGGGGACUUUGUCAGAAUGCUCAGGAAAGACAAGGAGGAAGUCGAGGCCAUCAAAAAUGCCAAAGCCCUGGAGGCAGAAAAGGCCAUGUACUCUGGCCGACGUUCGCGCAGACAAAGGAGGGAAUUCAGGGAGAAGAGACUAAAAGGUAGACAGAUCAGCCCACCAAGCUACGCCAGAAGAGACAGUCCAACGUAUGAUCCCUAUAAAAGACCGGAGUCAGAGUCUAGCUCUGAGUCACGGUCACGCUCUCGAACCCCGGGUCCGGAGAAGAUUACCUUCAUCACCAGUUUUGGAGGUAGUGAUGAUGAAGCUGUGGCAGCAACUCAAACGGCCGUCCCUCACUCUGGCCACGCCCCCUCCACCUUGCAGCAGCCUGCAGGUCAUAGCAGGGGCUCCCGGAGACGCAGAUCAUCGUCCAGCCGCUCUCCUUCUUCCUCUUCGCGCUCCUCGUCACGCUCCUCCUCUCGCUCAUCCUCCCGCUCACGUCGAGGACGACGAGGACGAGGAGGAAGGGACGGACGCCGUACCCGGAGCCACUCACGAUCGAGGCGGCGUAGUAGGUCGCACUCCAGGGGUAGAGGAAACGGGGGAGCAGCUUACCGCAGGAGACGUGAUCGAUCGCAAUCCCGGUCCAACGACAGAGACAGAGAGAGGGACAGAGACCGGGACAGGAAGCGAUACUCGGCACGGAAGCGGUCAAGGUCUCGUUCUAACUCGUGGCAAGGGGGAAGUUCAAGGCGAGGCGGCCGGAGCAGUGGAGGCCACCGGCGGGGAGACAGCAGUAGUGGCAGCCCUUCUCAGUCCCCCUCCAGACAAAACCACAGUCCCUCACCUUCUUUGAAGGGAGCCCCGGCCUCUACUGCCAUUACAGUAUCUGACAAACUAAGAAAGCCUGAAAAUCCGGGUGGUAAAGAGACGGGAGCUGCCAAAGUCACCCAAGAUGACCCCGCAGGAGCGACUGAAGCUACGAAUGCAAAAAGCACUCAACAGGCAGUCCAAGGCGGAUAAAAGAGCUGCUCAGGUGAAGAUUCAGCAGCAGGAACACAAACGACAGGAGCGAGAAGGAGAACUACGAGCCAUGGCACGGAAGAUACGCAUGAAGGAGCGGGAGCGUCGCGAAAAGGAGAGAGAUGAAUGGGAAAGACAGUACGGCAGACAGAGUCACUCACCGUCUCCCACCAAACAUAGCCGAGAACACAACUCCCACAGAAGGAGGUCCCGAUCCAGAUCCAGAUCUCGUUCUCGUUCUCGUUCUCGAUCUCGAUCACGGAGUCCUUACCACAGACACUGAGGAAUCAAAAGGACACGCUGACUCCGACACUAACCCACGAACAAACACUUUACAACAGAAGCUGAUAGAAGGAGAACAGAGGGUGAUCUCUGGUACUGUUUGAAUUUGAAUCAGUAUAAUCAAACAGUAAACCAAUCAAACAUGUGAUUAGUCUCACGACAAAAGUCUUGUCAUGAGUCUCAUCAUGACGAAAAUUGAACUCUAGACUUCAUUUUUGAAAAUCAUGACUGACUUAUUUUGGUGAGUGAUUCUUUUUUUCCCUCUCUUUCUGCCUGAACUUUCACUGUAGACUGGUGUCCUAAUGUUUCAUUAUGUAUAGCAGCAAUACUUUUUUCUCCCUUGCUUUUGCUUCUGUCAAAUUGUUCUUCCAGAUUUUGCAGUGCGAUCGUCAUCACAUCUGAUGAACCAAUGUACAGUUAAUUUAUAAAGAUCCAAACUUCCCUAACCAAAAAAUAAUAGGACAAACUCGAUGCAAUCGUCAUGAAAACAAUUGUUCUUUUUAUACUCCGUCUUCCGCAACUUGGUUAACAGCAGCUGUUUGACUUUCUUUGACCUCAGUAAAAUGUGAUUUUCAUUGCAGAACAGCUAAUAAAACAUUUUCUGAAAUAUU